CGUUCCCUCCGGCGGUAGGCCUAACACAUGCAAGUCGAACGGCAGCACAGUAAGAGCUUGCUCUUACGGGUGGCGAGUGGCGGACGGGUGAGGAAUACAUCGGAAUCUACUUUUUCGUGGGGGAUAACGUAGGGAAACUUACGCUAAUACCGCAUACGACCUACGGGUGAAAGCAGGGGAUCUUCGGACCUUGCGCGAUUGAAUGAGCCGAUGUCGGAUUAGCUAGUUGGCGGGGUAAAGGCCCACCAAGGCGACGAUCCGUAGCUGGUCUGAGAGGAUGAUCAGCCACACUGGAUCUGAGACACGGUCCAGACUCCUACGGGAGGCAGCAGUGGGGAAUAUUGUGCAAUGGGCGCAAGCCUGAUCCAGCCAUACCGCGUGGGUGAAGAAGGCCUUCGGGUUGUAAAGUCCUUUUGUUGGGAAAGAAAAGCAGCAGGUUAAUACCCCGCUGUUCUGACGGUACCCAAAGAAUAAGCACCGGCUAACUUCGUG
rnacentral:rRNA from 1 species